CCCUUAGAUGUUCUGGGCCGCACGCGCGCUACACUGAUACAGACAACAAGUCUCAAAUACACUCCUCUACCGAAAGGUAUGGGUAACCUUGGGAAAUUGUAUCGUGAUAGGGCUUGACGAUUGUAAUUAUUUGUCACAAACGAGGAAUUCCUAGUAAGCGCAAGUCAUCAACUUGCACUGAUUACGUCCCUGCCCUUUGUACACACCGCCCGUCGCUCCUACCGAUGAAUGUUAAGGUGAAUUCUCCGGAUUCGCGGCUCGCAUUGGGCAACCUUUCUGAGCCAACGAAAAAGUUGUGUAAGCCUUGACAUUUAGAGGAAGGAAAAGUCGUAACA
rnacentral:rRNA from 1 species